UACGUAGGGUCCAAGCGUUAUCCGGAAUCACUGGGCGUAAAGCGUGCGUAGGCGGGUAUUUAAGUGAAAUGCGAAAUCUUGUGGCUCAACCAUAUAGACUGUAUCUCAUACUGGAUACCUAGAGGAUGGCAGAGGCUAGUGGAAUUACCGGUGUAGCAGUGAAAUGCGUAGAGAUCGGUAGGAACACCAAUGGCGAAGGCAGCUAGCUGGGCCAUUUCUGACGCUAAGGCACGAAAGCGUGGGGAGCGAACAGG
rnacentral:rRNA from 1 species